rnacentral:rRNA from 1 species
AAUGAACGCUGGCGGCAUGCCUAACACAUGCAAGUCGAACGAAGGCUUCGGCCUUAGUGGCGCACGGGUGCGUAACGCGUGGGAAUCUACCCUUAGGUUCGGAAUAACAGUUGGAAACGACUGCUAAUACCGGAUGAUGACGUAAGUCCAAAGAUUUAUCGCCUAGGGAUGAGCCCGCGUAGGAUUAGCUAGUUGGUGUGGUAAAGGCGCACCAAGGCGACGAUCCUUAGCUGGUCUGAGAGGAUGAUCAGCCACACUGGGACUGAGACACGGCCCAGACUCCUACGGAAGGCAGCAGUGGGGAAUAUUGGGCAAUGGGCGAAAGCCUGAUCCAGCAAUGCCGCGUGAGUGAUGAAGGCCUUAGGGUUGUAAAGCUCUUUUACCCGGGAUGAUAAUGACAGUACCGGGAGAAUAAGCUCCGGCUAACUCCGUG